rnacentral:misc_RNA from 1 species
AGAAUUACUGUUUUAGUAUGUUGAAUCGGAAAGGAGACCACUUUUUGCCCAGCCCAAAUAAUAUAGACACCAGCUUCUGAAAUCUUUCUUUGGUUUGAUAAAGAUUUCUUUUUGCCAUUUUAGGUUGAGUUGAGCAGGACAUUCAAAUCUACAAUGACAUCAAAAGCUCUAAUGCAUUUGCAGGGAGAUGCUCCUUGAACAGGAUCACAAAAAUUAAAAAAAAAAAAAAAUCAAACGACUCAAUGGAUAAUCAAAUUGAGUCACAUAAUCAUGCAAUUCUUCAAAAUUCAAAAACUAACUAAAAAUAUUAACUGCAGAAAACUUAUCAACUUUCAAUCACUUAGUAUUAUCCAUACUAACCAAACCAAUAGAAAAUUAAUUGAGAAACCAACAAAUCCCACACAACAAAGUAUACUACAAGGCACACAGUUAAACAAAAUAGUAAAAUUCAUGCGUGUGGGGUAAAUAUACGUUGAAAUGAAAAUUUAAAUAAUGGAUAAAAUAGUAUUCUUAUUGACAUAAAUCACCAUACAUGGCAAUAUCCUUAUUUUAUUAUAUUAUUUUCUUCAUUUUUAGAAAUAGAUUACUAAUCUAGUAAGGUAGUUUCAUUUUAAGCUAUCCUAGAUUUUCUCUUUUUUUUUAACCAAAUGUUUAUAUUCACUACCCUAUUCAAUUCAGAAUUCCAAAAAUGAGCUUUCCAGCUCAAAACUUGCAGUUAAAACAAUUCACAUGCUGCUUGUGGCAUGGAAAGUUCAUGAAAGCUAAAUAGGAAUGUCUCCGUUAAAACUUUCAAAAAGCUUAUCCCUUAAAACAAUUCACAUUUUACUGAGAUUGAACCAUAAAACAAUGAGUGAUCAAAUAAUUGAAUUUCGAUUAUAAUAACUCCCCAAAAAGGGAUGGUAGUUUUAAGCUCACAGAAUUCUUUGAAUGACAUCAUAACCAUCUCAAAUGCAUAAUUUAAAAAAAAAAUUAAUGCAAAAUUUCAUAGCUAUAUAUGAAGACACAAAAUAAAAUCAGAACCACACCC